rnacentral:rRNA from 1 species
GAUGAACGCUGGCGGCGUGCCUAAUACAUGCAAGUCGAACGAACGGACGAUAAGCUUGUUCCCCUGAUGUUAGCGACGGACGGGUGAGUAACACGUGGAUAACCUACUUCUUAGUCUGGGAUAAUUUCGUGAAACCGGUGAUAAUAACACAUCAUAUUACGAACCGCUUGGUUCAAAGGUGAUAGACGCUCUUGCCGUCACUUUUAGCUGAAUCCGCGUUGCAUUAGCUAGUUGGUAAGGUAACGGCUUACCAAGGCAACGAUGCAUAGCCGACCUGAGAGGGUGAUCGGCCACACUGGAACUGAGACACGGUCCAGACUCCUACGGGAGGCAGCAGUAGGGAAUCUUCCGCAAUGGGCGAAAGCCUGACGGAGCAACGCCGCGUGAGUGAUGAAGGUCUUCGGAUCGUAAAACUCUGUUAUUAGGGAAGAACAUAUGUGUAAGUAACUGUGCGCAUCUUGACGGUACCUAAUCAGAAAGCCACGGCUAACUACGUG